rnacentral:rRNA from 1 species
UACAGAGGUCCCAAGCGUUGUUCGGAUUCACUGGGCGUAAAGGGUGCGUAGGCGGUCGGGUAAGUCUGAUGUGAAAUCUCACAGCUUAACUGUGAAACUGCAUUGGAUACUAUCCGGCUCCAGGAAUGGAGGGGAGACUGGAAUACUUGGUGUAGCAGUGAAAUGCGUAGAUAUCAAGUGGAACACCAGUGGCGAAGGCGAGUCUCUGGACAUUUCCUGACGCUGAGGCACGAAAGCCAGGGGAGCAAACGGG